CCUACGGGUGGCAGCAGUGGGGAAUAUUGCACAAUGGGCGCAAGCCUGAUGCAGCCAUGCCGCGUGUGUGAAGAAGGCCUUCGGGUUGUAAAGCACUUUCAGCGGGGAGGAAGGCGGUGAGGUUAAUAACCUCAUCGAUUGACGUUACCCGCAGAAGAAGCACCGGCUAACUCCGUGCCAGCAGCCGCGGUAAUACGGAGGGUGCAAGCGUUAAUCGGAAUUACUGGGCGUAAAGCGCACGCAGGCGGUCUGUCAAGUCGGAUGUGAAAUCCCCGGGCUCAACCUGGGAACUGCAUUCGAAACUGGCAGGCUAGAGUCUUGUAGAGGGGGGUAGAAUUCCAUGUGUAGCGGUGAAAUGCGUAGAGAUCUGGAGGAAUACCGGUGGCGAAGGCGGCCCCCUGGACAAAGACUGACGCUCAGGUGCGAAAGCGUGGGGAGCAAACAGGAUUAGAUACCCGUGUAGUC
rnacentral:rRNA from 1 species